CACUGGCUCCCACAGAAGGGAGGACAGCCUAUAAGGGAAACUUUCUGGAAGCUGGGUGCUCACUUCCAGCUCUUCGUUCUGCCUCUGUAGGUCCUCCAAGAUGAUCUGCAGCUCCUCUUCAUCCUCACUCUCACUCUCGCUGUCGGAGGAGUACUCCUCGGUUUCGCUGCGGCCAUGCUGCUGGCGGCUGCGGGUGGGAGGCAGAGAGAGAGAGAGACAGACAGUGAGCAGAGGAACACGUCGCUCCCCUCCCACCCUUCUUUUCCAUUCACCAGCUUCACACAAGUCUACCCAACAGAGUGACUUAGGAAGAAACUUAAGGAUGACUGAUUCAGAUGCCUAGUUCUUUUUUACGUGGAAGUCUGAGAGCUGAAAACAACUACACGUAUUUUUAAGUAAACAUUCUUGCAAACUUAAAACUAAAACCCUCUGCCUUCCUUUACCUCUGAAUUUCAGCAAUCUCAGCUCUAAGGCGUUCGAUCUCUUCUUUUUCAGAGGCAAUCUGUCGGCGUAGAAACUGCUCCAUGGCUAGAAGCUCCUCCUGUUCAGUCAGGAUCUCGUUCUCCUGAAAUAAUGACCACUGAGUCAACUGUCUUGGAUAGUGUCACUGGGAAAAGAAGGACCCAGAAGAUAUGCAGCUCAUGUCAAUAUCACCUUAAAGCAGAUCUAGUAAAGGAAAGAUGUUCAAAGAUAAAA